rnacentral:rRNA from 1 species
UACGUAGGGUCCAAGCGUUAUCCGGAAUCACUGGGCGUAAAGCGUGUGUAGGUGGGUGUUUAAGUGAAAUGCGAAAUCUCGUGGCUCAACCAUGUAGACUGUAUUUCAUACUGGAUACCUUGAGGAUGGCAGAGGCAAGUGAAUUGAUAGUGUAGCAGUGAAAUGCGUAGAUAUUAUCAGGAACACCAAUGGCGAAGGCAGCUUGCUGGGCCAUAUCUGACACUGAGACACGAAAGCGUGGGGAGCGAACAGG